GUUUGGCACCUCGAUGUCGGCUCAUCACAUCCUGGGGCUGAAGCCGGUCCCAAGGGUAUGGCUGUUCGCCAUUUAAAGAGGUACGUGAGCUGGGUUUAAAACGUCGUGAGACAGUUUGGUCCCUAUCUGCCGUGGGCGCUGGAUAUUUGAAGGGGGCUGCUCCUAGUACGAGAGGACCGGAGUGGACGAACCUCUGGUGUACCGGUUGUCACGCCAGUGGCAUCGCCGGGUAGCUAA
rnacentral:rRNA from 13 species